rnacentral:rRNA from 1 species
AACGAACGCUGGCGGCGUGGAUAAGACAUGCAAGUCGAACGGGAUUUCAUUUGUAGCAAUACCGAUGAAGUCUAGUGGCGGACGGGUGCGUAACACGUGAGCAAUCUGCCGGGAAGUGGGGGAUAACUCGCCGAAAGGCGAAUUAAUACCGCAUACGGCCAGGGAGGACAUCCUCCCGAAGCCAAAGUCGCAAGACGCUUCCUGAUGAGCUCGCGGCCUAUCAGCUAGUUGGUGAGGUAACGGCUCACCAAGGCAAUGACGGGUAGCUGGUCUGAGAGGACGACCAGCCACACUGGAACUGAGACACGGUCCAGACACCUACGGGUGGCAGCAGUCGAGAAUUUUUCACAAUGGGGGAAACCCUGAUGGAGCGACGCCGCGUGGAGGAUGAAGGUCUUCGGAUUGUAAACUCCUGUCAAAUGGGAACAAGAAAGUGAUAGUACCAUUAGAGGAAGAGACGGCUAACUCUGUGCCAGCCGCCGCAGUAA